rnacentral:lncRNA from 1 species
GGGUGACUAAUGUCGGUGGCGGCUCUGGUGCAGGACGAAGAACCUUCUCAUCCCGCGGAUCCUCCAGCAGAGGAGGCAGCUCUGGUUCCGGGCGUAGCCCCAGCUCCGCCCGCUGAUCCCUCCGCUUUUGUGUCACCGGACCCUGGAUCGUUGCCGAAGGACCCGGACUGCAGACCGCCGCUGGAGGUUCUGGACUGCAGACCGCCGCUGGAGGUUCUGGACUGCAGACCGCCGCUGGAGGUUCUGGACUGCAGACCGCCGCUGGAGGCUCCGGACUGGAGGACGUCGCUGGAGGCUCCGGACUGGAGGACGUCGCUGGAGGAUCCGGACUGUGGGAUGUCUCAGGAGGCCCCGUAGUGUGGGCCUUCUCAGGAAGUUCCGGACUGUGGGCCUUCUCAGGAAGUUCCGGACUGUGGGCCGUCUCAGGAGGUUCCGGACUGUGGGCCGUCUCAGGAGGUUCCGGACUGGGAACUGUCUCCGGAAGCUCUGGACUGGGAACUGUUGCCGGAAGCUCUGGACUGGGAACUGUCGCCGGAAGCUCUGGACUGGGAAUGCGCACUGGAGGCCUGAUGCGUGGGGCUGGCACAGGUGGCACCAGACUGGUAACACGCACCUCAGGGCGAGUGCGGGGAGCAGGAACAGGACUGGAGAGACUCACUGGAGGCCUAGUGCAUGGAGCUGGGACAGGUGGCCCCAGACUGGAGACACGCACUUGUGAAGGCAUACUGGCGACACAGUGCGUAGAGCUGGCGCAGGAUAUCCUGGACCGAGGAGGCUUACUGGAGACCAGGAGCGCUGAGCCGGCACAAUCCGUCCUGGCUGAAUGCCCACUCUAGCACGGCAAAUGCGGGGCGCAGGCACAGAUCGCACCGGGCUAUGAAUGCGCACUGGUGAUAUAGUGCGCAUCACAGCAUAACUCGGUGCCUGACUGGUCACAUGCUCCCUACGGUAAGCACGGGGAGUUGGCUUAGGUCUACAACCUGACUCCGUCAAUCUCCCCGUGUGCCCCCCCCAAAAAAAUGUAUGGAGGAGCUGUCUCUCGGGCUUCUGUCGUUGCCGUGCUAGUUCCUCGUAUUGUCGCCGUUCCUCUCUCGCUAUCUCCGCCUGCUUCCAUGGCAGGGUCUUGUCCCCUGCCAUUACCUCCUCCCAGGUCCAGGAUGUCCUCCACUCUCUUCUCUCCAGAGCCCAGGAUCCCUGGUCCUCCUGGGCAUGCUGCUUGGUCCUUUGGUGGUGGGAGAUUCUGUCACAUCGUUCG